CAGCGUCUGGACGAAGAACCGCCGCCAGACCAGUUUGGGCCUGGUAUCUGUCAUGUUGGUAUCUUAUUGCUACAAAAAGUCUGUCUCGUCAGUCCAAAGUUAACAUCCCUGCAGUAACCAAAAACAUGAGCUGGAUAAGGAGGAGAAGAGGAGCUGGCCGAAUGAUUUUUAAGCAGAAGCUGAAUGUUCAAUAAGAAUAGAGUUGACACCUUCAGAGGAGAAGUAAGAAAUAGUUUUCCUGUGUGUCAUUACUUCUCAGAAUGCUAACCCAGAAGCUACCUUUACCUAUGCUAUGUUGAAGUACAAGCCUGGUCUGCCAACCUCAGAUGUUUCAGUAUUAUCACAAAAGAACAACUUGCCUGGAAGAAAGAACUAGAAUCUGGGAAUCCUGCUGGGGAAAGAGCAGAUAUAUUGUUUUAAACUGUGAUCAGUCACACCACUCAGGCCUCAUGUUCUUCAUCUGGAAAAUGAGUUCAGUAUCUGUCCAUCAUACCUGACAGAGGAGCAAAUGAAAUAACAUCUAGAAUCUUCUUGCAUACAAAUAUAAAUGAAGAUGAAUAUAUUAGGACUCAGAGAUAUUGAGAUCUCAGGUCACUCUAUGAAAGACUCGUCUUCAAUUUGGGUCAUCUGAAUUUAUAGCCUGACCUCCUUUUAUUUAUACCACAAGCACCCAUUAUAAAAGCAGAAAAGGAAGAACUGGAGGCUGGAGUGCAAUGGCACGAUCUCAGCUCACCGCAACCUCA
rnacentral:lncRNA from 1 species